AAAAAAAAAGGGUUACAUAGAGAGACAGAGAAAAAGGGAACCUAGAGGGAGUCUGAAGGAGAAAGGAGAGAGUACAAGAAAUUCACUAUAAGGAGACAAGUAAGAAUAUCAGUUUAGUUUUUCUUAUUCUUAAGGUAUACUCAAAGCAUCAGAUAAAUUUCAUUACAGCUGUGUCACAUUAUUUAGUUUUUCUCCCUUUCCUUCUUGUGGAAUUGGCCACUCUGAAUACAUAUACUCAGUACAUUUAACAAAUGAGAGAAUUCGGUUAUUCCCUUAGAUAGUCACCGUAAUUAAGGAGAAUAAGUGUCCCAUGGAAAUGAUAGGCCAACUAGUAAGAGUAUUAGUAAAUAGAGGAAACCUGACAAUAGUUGUGUCAUAUUAACUCUGAGCAAACCUUUAUAUUAGGGUCUGGAUCAUUUUAGUUUAUUAGUAAUUAGUGUAUUCUAGCUUCACAUUAAUUAUUUUUGGUUAGCAAUGAAAUAUUCUAUACAUUAGUUAUCUUAACCAUGAAUCUUAUACCAAUAUUGAAUGGCCAAGUUUAAACUGUACUGAGUUAUUAAACAAAAUUAGAAGGUUCUUUUUAUGGAUCAAAGUAAAAUGAAUUGCGUGUGUAGCAGCAGCUGAACUGCAGUGUCAAAAACAAAUGCAAUGAAUAAUAAAGAGAGGUCACAUAUAGAUAACAGAAUGAAUAAAGAGGGUGGGAAUCAUACUUUAAUGCAAAUCCAAGCCUUGACUACAGUAAGUGAAAUUGAAGCUAAAAUAAUGAACCUUUAAUCGUGAAGGUAUAGAGGUGGGAGAGCAAAGACCGCUGCGUGAGGAGUUUAACGACGGUUGUUGCGAAGGUAAGGGCAUCACUCCACGCGCUUCCGUACGUGUAUAUGUGUAUAUAUUUGUGUUGUGAUAAUUAUCUUGGUGGUUUUGUUUCGGCAUGAAUAUGUGUUAUUAUUUGUCUGGUGUUGUUUUAACAUAAAUAUUACUUGUUAAGUAACUAAAAUGGCGAUUCAAAACUAUAUCCAAAGAUGGGAUAUUAGACUUUUGAUUUUAGGAGAUUACCCCGGUGGGGUAUUUACGGAGACAUUCAUGCAUUAGAUGACUCAGACAAAUGCCCAAUGGUGGGGCACUGAUCACCGAGUUUUAGGAGUUACUACCCAACGGUGAGGUAGUGGCGAUUCAUAUGCACUAGGUGAUUCAGAAUAAUGCCCAAUGGUGGGGUACUGAACUUCAAAUUUUUAGGAGUUAUUACCCAAUGGUGGGGUAUUGCCCAAUGGUGGGGUAUAUUGUCCAAUGAUGGGACAUUUGGCUCCGUUUAGAGGCGAAAUCGGAUCAUGAGCAUUGGCAUAUAGACUCACCAAUAGGGAUUAACGCAUUUUAGUCAAGUUGUAACUUAAGGCUAGGGGUGGUGAUUAAGUAACUGAGGAAUGUAUCUUGUACUAUUUAUUUAUCUAUUUAUUUUUGGUUUUCUUUUAAUUAAAUUUAUAUCUGCAUGCAUAUUUUUACUAUGUUUGUUAGUUGGAGAUGACCCUUACUUUUGGACAGAUAAUCAUCAAUUCGUCUUUCCUCCUUAACGGCGACGUCAGGGAGGUAAAGUGAUAUAGUAGAAGAAGACGCAAGUAAAGCGGUGGUGCACAUUUGGAGGCUUGAUAAAUUCCGACAGUGGUAUUAGCCUUGAUGAGAAAACUUUUCGCAAGCAUCCGAAACUAUGGCCAGCUAGGUUUAUUCUUGGGUAGAGAAAAAAGGGCCAAGUGUCUUGUUCGUAGGAUACUUAUAUUUUUGAUG
rnacentral:lncRNA from 1 species